rnacentral:lncRNA from 1 species
GCUUUUUUUGAAAACUUUUGGAACCCAAAAACAAAUCAAUAGAAAAAAAUAAAAAUUUCAAGGUGAUUAUCUUUAUGGUUUCAUUUUAGAUUUCAUUUCUUUUAUUUGAUUUUUAUUUAUUUUUCUUUUUUUUUCCAGACAAAAAUAAAAAGGGAAAAAGGAGAUAGAACCUCACCUGAAUCGCCUCGCACCAUCACCGGC